UUUGGGUUGAUCCCGCCGGAGGUUACUGCUAUCGGUGUUUGACUAAGCCAUGCAAGUCAUAUGUUCCUCGUGAACAUGGCAUACUGCUCAGUAACACGUGGAUAACCUGCCCUUGGGUCUGGGAUAACCCCGGGAAACUGGGGAUAAUACCGGAUGACGCAUAUGUGCUGGAAUGCUUUAUGCGUAAAACGGAUUCGUCCGCCCAAGGAUGGGUCUGCGGCCUAUCAGGUAGUAGUGGGUGUAAUGUACCUACUAGCCAACAACGGGUACGGGUUGUGAGAGCAAGAGCCCGGAGAUGAAUUCUGAGACAUGAAUCCAGGCCCUACGGGGCGCAGCAGGCGCGAAAACUUUACAAUGCGGGAAACCGUGAUAAGGGAACACCGAGUGCCAGCAUCAUAUGCUGGCUGUCCAGAUGUGUAAACUACAUCUGUUAGCAAGGGCCGGGUAAGACCGGUGCCAGCCGCCGCGGUAACACCGGCGGCCCGAGUGGUGACCGUUAUUAUUGGGUCUAAAGGGUCCGUAGCCGGUUUGGUCAGUCCUCCCGGGAAAUCUGAUAGCUUAACUGUUGGGCUUUCGGGGGAUACUGCCAGGCUUGGGAACCGGGAGAGGUAAGAGGUACUACCAGGGGUAGGAGUGAAAUCUUGUAAUCCCCUG
rnacentral:rRNA from 1 species